rnacentral:sRNA from 1 species
UGACAGUUUGGAUCUUUUACUAUGCUGUA